ACUAUGGAUUAAUUGUGUUAUAUAGCAUUGUCAUCACAGGAUGAGUUUAAAGUUAAAUACCUCAUUUGGCAAACAUUGCCUUUAGAAAGUGCCACAUAACAAGAAGCUGAAACUAGACCAUCUCUUUACUUACAUGCGUGACAUUAUCACAGAUAUAAGUACAUAAGUUCCUGAGAACUGCAGUCCUAAAAUACCAAGCCAGGAAUUGCAUCUAGACUGGGCAUGCAGAAGUUGCUAAUUUACAGAUUUACUUCAUCACCAUGCCAAGGAGCUGUCAAAAAACGAAAAUAAGAUAAUGGUCUUUGUAUGUCAACUUCACUUAAAUACCUUUUUCAUUGUACACAGUCCUUCUUUUGAGGGGCCAGAGAUCUCUCUGGAGCCAGGCUUAUUUUUAGUAUGCAUUCUUCAAUACAUUUUCUUGGAAAGCUUACCUGCUUUUCUCACAGCACACCUUUAACAAGACUCCUGCAUAUUGGUUGAACAGAUUUAAUUAUAAGCAGGGACACCAAGGCGCACUACCACAGGCGGGACUGACC